rnacentral:rRNA from 1 species
GUCUACGGCCAUGCCACCCUGAACAUGCCCGAUCUCAUCUGAUUUCGGAAGCUAAGCAGGGUCGGGCCUGGUUAGUAUUUGGAUGGGAGACAACCAGGUGCCGUAGGCU